rnacentral:rRNA from 1 species
CAGUAGCCACGGUAAUACGUAGGUGGCAAGCGUUGUCCGGAAUUAUUGGGCGUAAAGGGCUCGCAGGCGGUUUCUUAAGUCUGAUGUGAAAGCCCCCGGCUCAACCGGGGAGGGUCAUUGGAAGCUGGGAAACUUGAGUGCAGAAGAGGAGAGUGGAAUUCCACGUGUAGCGGUGAAAUGCGUAGAGAUGUGGAGGAACACCAGUGGCGAAGGCGACUCUCUGGUCUGUAACUGACGCUGAGGAGCGAAAGCGUGGGGAGCGAACAGGAUUAGAUACCCCAGUAGUCCCUGUCUCUUAUAU